rnacentral:rRNA from 1 species
AUUGAACGCUGGCGGCAGGCCUAACACAUGAAAGUCGGGCGGAGAAGGGGGGUUUGCCCCUGGAUUAAGCGGCGGCGGGGUGGGUAAUGCCUAGGAAUUUGCCUGGUGGUGGGGGAUACCGUCGGGAACGGGGCGCUAAUACCGCAUCCGUCCUGGGGGAGAAGGGGGGGGACUUUCGAACCUCACGCUUCCGAAUAAGCCUAGGUCGGAUUAGCUAGUUGGUGGGGUAAAGGCCUACCAAGGCGACGAUCCGUAACUGGUCUGAGAGGAUGAACAGUCACACUGGAACUGAGACACGGUCCAGACUCCUACGGGAGGCAGCAGUGGGGAAUAUUGGACAAUGGGCGAAAGCCUGAUCCAGCCAUGCCGCGUGUGUGAAGAAGGUCUUCGGAUUGUAAAGCACUUUAAGUUGGGAGGAAGGGCAGUAAGUUAAUACCUUGCUGUUUUGACGUUACCAACAGAAUAAGCACCGGCUAGCUUCGUG